CACAGCUGUUUGCCCUGGGAGGAAGAGGACGCGACAGGGCAAAGGGAGGCGUGCGGGCUGUUUACCUGCUCUUUUCCUUGGGCCUCUGGGGUACAGAAUAGGGUGUUUGUAAGUCUACUGCCUGCUCCUUAGACCGUACUGGUUUAGAGCUUGCGUUUUCCUGCUCGUGGGGUGGAGUGCAUUCCUGACGUCCCAGGGCUUUUAACUCUUUGAGGAAGGUGGGAUGAGGGACUUUGGGGAGGGGCGUGACGUACGUGCUGUAAAAUAGAGCAGAACUUGCCGUAGGGGGAGGAUGGCCAGGUCUUCCCAGUGUGAGCUGAGCUGAUCUCCGAGGUACCGUCCUGGACCUGCCUCUGCCGCUGUCCUCUGUCUGUGGCCCCUUCCAGUACUCUGGUGGCUGAGACAUGGUCAAGCAGAUGCCCCUGCAGGAAGGAGCCCGAAUCAGGAGGUCCGGAUGCUUUUCUUUCUUCAUCAUUGAGGCUGAAAGGUCCAGAAAGGAGCUGGGAAGUUGAGGAUGAAGCCAUCAGCUGGUGUAAUGUCUGGGAAAGGCUUGAUCUCUGCUUCAGGAUGAUGCCUUGUUUCUCUGUCCUCACAUGGAACAAAGUAGGAGGACAAAGAAGUUGUGUCCCCCAUUGGAAAAGGGACAAGAAGACCAAAAAAGACUAAGAGAUCCCAUUUAAUGUCUUUUAUAAGAGCAUUAAUUCCAUGCACAAAGGCAAAGGCCUCAAGGCCUAAUCAUGUCCCAAGGGACCCACCUCUUAAUAUCAUCCACUUGGGGGAGCUGAAUUCCUAUAGAUGCAUUUUGGAAGAACACAGCCAUGCCAACUCCAGUACCUAACAACAUACAAGAAUGAGGAGAGUGGUUCUAAUUUCUGAUUUCCACUAGUUGAUAUAAAUGUGAAGGAUUCCUUAACUAUGAGAAAGGAGAGAAAUAGAUUCAGAAG
rnacentral:lncRNA from 1 species